GGUCCUAUAGAAAAGCUGAACAUAUUUUUGUUUUAUUAUCAACUUGUGAUUUUUUAUAUUUUUUUGUAAAAGUUUUUUGUCCACACCGUAACCACUUACCAUUCUUAGGUAGAAAUGAAUAAAGUAAUCUCGCUCCUUUGAAUUGUUUAAUGAAUUUAGUUAACUACUUCACUAUCGAAAAUCAGCGGGGAAUAUAAGACUUGACA
rnacentral:lncRNA from 1 species